AGUGAACGCUGGCGGUAGGCCUAACAUAUGCAAGUCGAACGGCAGCACAGUAAGAGCUUGCUCUUACGGGUGGCGAGUGGCGGACGGGUGAGGAAUACAUCGGAAUCUACUUUUUCGUGGGGGAUAACGUAGGGAAACUUACGCUAAUACCGCAUACGACCUACGGGUGAAAGCAGGGGAUCUUCGGACCUUGCGCGAUUGACUGAGCCGAUGUCGGAUUAGCUAGUUGGCGGGGUAACGGCCCACCAAGGCGACGAUCCGUAGCUGGUCUGAGAGGAUGAUCAGCCACACUAGAACUGAGGCACGGUCCAGACUCCCACGGGAGGCAGCAGUCUGGAAUAUUGGACACUGGGCGCAAGCCUGACCCAGCCAUACCGCGUGAGUGAAGAAGGCCUUCGGUUUGGAGAGCCCUUUUGUUGGGAAAGAAAAGCAGCAGCUUAAUACCCCGCCGUUCUGACGGUACCCAAAGAAUAAGCACCGGCUAACCUCGUG
rnacentral:rRNA from 1 species